UAAAUCAUCUUAAAAAGAUGUUAUUGUUAUGAUGCAGUUAUGAUUUUGGUAAUAUAUAUAAUUAUUGAUCCAAUUUCUUCAGAAGCAAAAGUGCUAAGAUCAAUGAGGCUUUUAUCAAAAGUUGUUGUCAAAAUCCUGGAUGAAGAUUUUUUUUUUUUAUAAUUCUGUAUUUAAAAGACAUUGGAAUAUGAUCCUUGUGUAGGUUGCCUUUUUUCAGACACAAGGUAUGGGUUCUUACCAGUCAUAGUUACACCAUUUAUUCAGCCAACUACACCAGAGAAAAUAUAUUUUAGUAAAGUUGACCUUUAGGUAGAUUUAUGUGCUGUGGAGCAAUCUUUUGGUCAUCUCAAAAAUCAGCACUCCUAAAUCAUGCUGACCCUAACAAUAUACUGCAAAAUAUGUUUUUAUGUGCAUUUUAUUGGAAAACUCUUGCAAUUGCUUAAGAUUAGAAAUUCCAGAUGGCAUUAACUUUGAGCAAAA
rnacentral:lncRNA from 1 species